rnacentral:rRNA from 1 species
CUACGUGCCAGCAGCCGCGGUAAUACGUAGGUCCCGAGCGUUGUCCGGAUUUAUUGGGCGUAAAGCGAGCGCAGGCGGUUAGAUAAGUCUGAAGUUAAAGGCUGUGGCUUAACCAUAGUACGCUUUGGAAACUGUUUAACUUGAGUGCAAGAGGGGAGAGUGGAAUUCCAUGUGUAGCGGUGAAAUGCGUAGAUAUAUGGAGGAACACCGGUGGCGAAAGCGGCUCUCUGGCUUGUAACUGACGCUGAGGCUCGAAAGCGUGGAGAGCAAACAGGAUUAGAUACCCUGGUAGUCCACGCCGUAAACGAUGAGUGCUAGGUGUUAGACCCUUUCCGGGGUUUAGUGCCGCAGCUAACGCAUUAAGCACUCCGCCUGGGGAGUACGACCGCAAGGUUGAAACUCAAAGGAAUUGACGGGGGCCCGCACAAGCGGUGGAGCAUGUGGUUUAAUUCGAAGCAACGCGAAGAACCUUACCAGGUCUUGACAUCCCUCUGACCGCUCUAGAGAUAGAGUUUUC